AAAGAUUGAUCUAGAAGCUUUGACAGAGUUUUAGCUCUUUAUGUCUGCCACAUUGACUUUCUGAUGAAUAAAGGAAAAAAUCGUAGGUGAUAAGGUGACGUUUGCAGAGCGGCGUCUAUUAAAUAUCAUACCUUUAUGUUUGAAGCUGAGACCGGCGAUAUUCCCAAGUAAUACGGCAGAUGAAGACACAAGUUUUAGUAAGGGAGGGCUCCUGCAGAGAUCAAUUCACGGACGCUAAUGUUGCCUUGAAUUAUAGUAUGAUAACCGACAGAGAUCAAGUCAAAGUCAGGCCUGCAGCGACGAGCCCCUUUCUUUCGGAUUGUGAAGUGUAAUGUUAAUGUUUAAUGUAGCUGUUUAACGUCGAAAAUUGUUAGUUUGUAAUUGUUUUUGAGAAGCAAAAUAAUUAAUCUGAGAAGUGUUUCCAGUUUUAUAAAGCUCAGGCAUGGGCACCGUAUUGUUUAUUUAGUUAUAUUUUAUACAAUAUCUUUGACCUUUGUCGCAUUAAGUUGUAGUACUACUACUAGUAGCGGGGUAGUACUA